CACUCCUGCGGGAGGCAGCAGUGGGGAAUUUUGGACAAUGGGCGAAAGCCUGAUCCAGCAAUGCCGCGUGCAGGAUGAAGGCCUUCGGGUUGUAAACUGCUUUUGUACGGAACGAAAAAGCUCCUUCUAAUACAGGGGGCCCAUGACGGUACCGUAAGAAUAAGCACCGGCUAACUACGUGCCAGCAGCCGCGGUAAUACGUAGGGUGCGAGCGUUAAUCGGAAUUACUGGGCGUAAAGCGUGCGCAGGCGGUUAUGUAAGACAGAUGUGAAAUCCCCGGGCUCAACCUGGGAACUGCAUUUGUGACUGCAUGGCUAGAGUACGGUAGAGGGGGAUGGAAUUCCGCGUGUAGCAGUGAAAUGCGUAGAUAUGCGGAGGAACACCGAUGGCGAAGGCAAUCCCCUGGACCUGUACUGACGCUCAUGCACGAAAGCGUGGGGAGCAAACAGGAUUAGAUACCCGAGUAGUCCCA
rnacentral:rRNA from 1 species